AACAUGCAAGUCGAGCGGACAGAUGGGAGCUUGCUCCCUGNAUGUUAGCGGCGGACGGGUGAGUAACACGUGGGUAACCUGCCUGUAAGACUGGGAUAACUCCGGGAAACCGGGGCUAAUACCGGAUGGUUGUUUGAACCGCAUGGUUCAAACAUAAAAGGUGGCUUCGGCUACCACUUACAGAUGGACCCGCGGCGCAUUAGCUAGUUGGUGAGGUAACGGCUCACCAAGGCAACGAUGCGUAGCCGACCUGAGAGGGUGAUCGGCCACACUGGGACUGAGACACGGCCCAGACUCCUACGGGAGGCAGCAGUAGGGAAUCUUCCGCAAUGGACGAAAGUCUGACGGAGCAACGCCGCGUGAGUGAUGAAGGUUUUCGGAUCGUAAAGCUCUGUUGUUAGGGAAGAACAAGUACCGUUCGAAUAGGGCGGUACCUUGACGGUACCUAACCAGAAAGCCACGGCUAACUACGUGCCAGCAGCCGCGGUAAUACGUAGGUGGCAAGCGUUGUCCGGAAUUAUUGGGCGUAAAGGGCUCGCAGGCGG
rnacentral:rRNA from 1 species